GACGAACCGAGCGACCGUUGUUCGGAAUCACUGGGCUUAAAGGGCGCGUAGGCGGGUGCUCAAGUCCGGGGUGAAAUCCUCCAGCUCAACUGGAGAACUGCCUCGGAUACUGGGUGUCUCGAGGGUGGUAGGGGUAUGCGGAACUAUCGGUGGAGCGGUGAAAUGCGUUGAUAUCGAUAGGAACUCCGGUGGCGAAGGCGGCAUACUGGACCACAUCUGACGCUGAGGCGCGAAAGCCAGGGGAGCAAACGGG
rnacentral:rRNA from 1 species